rnacentral:rRNA from 1 species
GGGGAAUAUUGCGCAAUGGGGGAAACCCUGACGCAGCAAUACCGCGUGAGUGAAGAAGGUUUUCGGAUCGUAAAGCUCUGUUAUUGGGGAAGAAAAAAAGACGUUACCGACAGAAUAAGCACCGGCUAACUUCGUGCCAGCAGCCGCGGUAAUACGAAGGGUGCAAGCGUUAAUCGGAAUUACUGGGCGUAAAGCGCGCGUAGGUGGUUUGGUAAGAUGGAUGUGAAAUCCCCGGGCUCAACCUGGGAACUGCAUCCAUAACUGCCUGACUAGAGUACGGUAGAGGGUGGUGGAAUUUCCUGUGUAGCGGUGAAAUGCGUAGAUAUAGGAAGGAACACCAGUGGCGAAGGCGACCACCUGGACUGAUACUGACACUGAGGUGCGAAAGCGUGGGGAGCAAACA